rnacentral:piRNA from 1 species
UUCUCUGUGAGUCACGUGAGGGCAGAAUCU